AUUGAACGCUGGCGGCAUGCCUUACACAUGCAAGUCGAACGGCAGCACGGGAGCAAUCCUGGUGGCGAGUGGCGAACGGGUGAGUAAUAUAUCGGAACGUGCCCAGUAGUGGGGGAUAACUGCUCGAAAGAGCAGCUAAUACCGCAUACGACCUGAGGGUGAAAGGGGGGGAUCGCAAGACCUCUCGCUAUUGGAGCGGCCGAUAUCAGAUUAGCUAGUUGGUGGGGUAAAGGCCUACCAAGGCAACGAUCUGUAGUUGGUCUGAGAGGACGACCAGCCACACUGGGACUGAGACACGGCCCAGACUCCUACGGGAGGCAGCAGUGGGUAAUUUUGGGCAAUGGGCGCAAGCCUGAUCCAGCAAUGCCGCGUGCAGGAAGAAGGCCUUCGGGUUGUAAACUGCUUUUGUCAGGGAAGAAAUCCUCUAGGUUAAUACCCUUGGGGGGAUGACGGUACCUGAAGAAUAAGCACCGGCUAACUACGUGCCAGCCGCCGCAGUAAAAC
rnacentral:rRNA from 1 species